CAAUAUUCAUUCUUCAACAAGUUUUUCACCAUUUGAAAUUGUAAAUGGUUUUAAUCCAUUACUUCCUCUUGAUUUGAUGUCUUUGCCAUUACAUGAGAUCACUAAAUUAGAAGAACAAAAAAAAACAAAGUUGGUUAAGAUAAUACAUGAGAAGGCAUGUCAACAUCUUGAAAAGAAAUAUGACUCUUAUGUCCACAGCGUGAACAACGAG
rnacentral:lncRNA from 1 species